GCUUUGCAUUGAGAGCAGACUGUGUGACCUAAAAGGCGAAAAAAUGGGAGCACGCUGUAAGGAUAAAUAGGAACAGACAGGGGCAUUCGUAUUGCGGCGUUAGAUGUGCAAUUCUUGAAUCAUCAUCGCAAGACGCGCUCCUGCGAAAGCAUUUGCCAAGAAUGAUUUCAUCAAUCAAGAACGAAAGUUGGAGGCUCGAAGGCAAUCAGAUAUCGCUCUGGUUCUAACCGUAAACGAUGCCCACAGCACAAGUGCCCACAAGUUCAGCACAAAUUUUGGCU
rnacentral:ncRNA from 1 species